GAUGAAGAACGUAGCGAAAUGCGAUAAGUAAUGUGAAUUGGAGAAUUCAGUGAAUCAUCGAAUCUUUGAACGCACAUUGCGCCCGCCAGUAUUCUGGCGGGCAUGCCUGUUCGAGCGUCAUUUCAACCAUCAAGCCCCAGGCUUGUGUUGGGGACCUGCGGCUGCCGCAGGCCCUGAAAACCAGUGGCGGGCUCGCUGUCACACCGGGCGUAGUAGAUUUUAUCUCGCUCAGGGCGUGCUGCGGGUUCCGGCCGUUAAAAAGCCUUUUUUACCCAAGGUUGACCUCGGAUCAGGUAGGAAGACCCGCUGAACUUAAGCAUAUCAAUAAGCGGAGGA
rnacentral:misc_RNA from 1 species